rfam:Aspergillus terreus NIH2624 scaffold_5 genomic scaffold, whole genome shotgun sequence.
GGGGUGAUGGUGCAGUUGGGAGCUCGUCUGACUGAAGUUUCAUAUGAAAUCGGAUCAUCAGAAGGUCACCGGUUCGAUCCCGGUUCACCCCA